UACGGAGGGUGCGAGCGUUGUCCGGAAUUAUUGGGCGUAAAGCGCGUGUAGGCGGCCACACAGGUCCGCUGUGAAAACUCGAGGCUCAACCUCGAGCUGUCGGUGGAAACCGCGUGGCUAGAGUCCGGAAGAGGAGACUGGAAUUCCCGGUGUAGCGGUGGAAUGCGCAGAUAUCGGGAGGAACACCCGUGGCGAAGGCGGGUCUCUGGGACGGUACUGACGCUGAGGCGCGAAAGCGUGGGGAGCAAACAGG
rnacentral:rRNA from 1 species